UACGGAGGGGGCUAGCGUUGUUCGGAAUUACUGGGCGUAAAGGGAGCGUAGGCGGACAUUUAAGUCAGAGGUGAAAUCCCGGAGCUUAACUUCGGAACUGCCUUUGAUACUGGGUGUCUUGAGUGUGAGAGAGGUAUGUGGAACUCCGAGUGUAGAGGUGAAAUUCGUAGAUAUUCGGAAGGAACACCAGUGGCGAAGGCGACAUACUG
rnacentral:rRNA from 1 species